rnacentral:rRNA from 1 species
UGGGGAAUUUUGGACAAUGGGCGAAAGCCUGAUCCAGCCAUGCCGCGUGAGUGAUGAAGGCCCUUAGGGUUGUAAAGCUCUUUUCGCCGGUGAAGAUAAUGACGGUAACCGGAGAAGAAGCCCCCGGCUAACUUCGUGCCAGCAGCCGCGGUAAUACGAAGGGGGGCUAGCGUUGCUCGGAAUCACUGGGCGUAAAGCGCACGUAGGCGGAUCGUUAAGUCAGGGGGUGAAAUCCUGGAGCUCAACUCCAGAACUGCCCUUGAUACUGGCGAUCUCGAGUUCGAGAGAGGUUGGUGGAACUCCGAGUGUAGAGGUGAAAUUCGUAGAUAUUCGGAAGAACACCAGUGGCGAAGGCGGCAACUGGCUCGAUACUGACGCUGAGGUGCGAAAGCGUGGGGAG